AGCCACGGACCGGAGACUGCGCAGGAGGCUACCAUGAAGAAACUCCGAGCAUCUGUAAGGAGUCACAAAAAGCAACCGGCCAACCACAAGAGAAGGAGAACAUGUGAUCUUAGCAGCAGCCAGGCCAAGCCUUCCAGCCUGGAUGGCCUGGCCAAGCAGAAGAAAGAGGAGUUCCUUCAGGCCUCUGUCUCCCCAUAUCAUCUCUUCAGCGACGUGGCCGAUGUCACAGCUUUCCGAAGGAACUUGCUCAGCUGGUAUGACCAAGAGAAGCGUGACCUCCCUUGGAGGAGAUUGGCAAAAGAAGAGACCAACCCGGACAGGAGGGCCUAUGCUGUGUGGGUCUCAGAGGUGAUGCUGCAGCAGACCCAAGUUGCCACGGUGAUCGACUAUUAUACUCGAUGGAUGCAGAAGUGGCCAACGCUUCAAGACCUGGCCAGCGCUUCCCUGGAGGAGGUGAACCAGCUCUGGUCUGGCCUGGGCUACUAUUCUCGAGGCCGUCGGCUACAAGAAGGAGCUAAGAAGGUGGUAGAGGAGCUAGGAGGCCAUAUGCCACGUACAGCGGAGACCCUACAGCAGUUCCUGCCUGGUGUGGGGCGGUACACGGCUGGAGCCAUUGCUUCCAUUGCCUUUGACCAGGUAACCGGUGUGGUGGAUGGGAACGUUUUACGGGUGCUGUGCCGUGUCCGCGCCAUUGGUGCCGACCCCACCAGCACCGUCGUCUCUCAUCACCUAUGGAACUUAGCCCAGCAGCUAGUGGACCCAGCCCGGCCUGGGGACUUCAAUCAAGCAACCAUGGAGUUGGGGGCUACAGUGUGCACCCCACAGCGCCCUCUCUGCAGCCACUGCCCUGUGCAGAGCUUAUGCCGGGCACACCAGAGGGUGGAGCGGGGACAGCUCUCAGCCUUGCCAGGUCGUCCUGACAUAGAGGAGUGUGCUCUUAACACUGGACAGUGCCAGCUCUGCCUCCCUUCCACAAAUCCCUGGGACCCCAGCAUGGGAGUGACCAACUUUCCUCGGAAGGCCAGCCGCAGGCCUCCCAGGGAGGAGUACUCCGCCACCUGUGUUGUGGAGCAGCCGGGAGCCAUCGGGGGUCCCCUCAUCCUCCUGGUGCAAAGGCCUGACUCAGGUCUGCUGGCAGGGCUGUGGGAGUUUCCAUCUGUUACCUUGGAGCCCUCAGAACAGAAUCAGCACAAAGCCCUUCUGCAGGAACUGCAGCGCUGGUCUGGGCCCCUCCCUGCCACUCGUCUCCAGCACCUGGGGGAGGUGAUCCACAUCUUCUCUCACAUCAAACUGACGUAUCAAGUAUAUAGUGUGGCUCUAGGACAGACCCCAACGAGCACUGCACCUCCUGGCGCUCGGUGGCUGACCUGGGAGGAAUUUCGCAAUGCAGCUGUGUCUACUGCCAUGAAAAAGGCACCACCUUUGUUGUCUUUGUUGUCUUCUUGUCUGUGUCUUACAUGCUUUAUGUAAACUCCUUGUGUGUAACUGAGAAAGAGUGUAUGCUGUAAACAGUAUGGCUGUGACUGACCAUAGGACCAUAGGCUGGGGUGGAACUCGGUAUUGGUUCUUUUUGUAGAAGGUGCCAGCCCUGUCUUGUUCCUUCCACCUCCAUCUUUGCUAGGUGUUCCGCAUGUAUGAGGACCAUCGGCAAGGGACCUGCAAGGGUUCCAAAAGGUCCCAGGUGUGUCCUCCGUCAAGCCGGAAAAAACCCAGCCGGAAAAAACCCAGCCGGGGACAGCAAGUCCUGGAUACUUUCUUUCAACGUCAUAUCCCCACAGACAAACCCAACAGUACUACCCAGUGAUACCCUGGGAUUCCCCACCCAAAAUCCAGUCUAAUA